UACGUAGGGUGCAAGCGUUGUCCGGAAUUAUUGGGCGUAAAGAGCUCGUAGGCGGUCUGUCGCGUCUGCUGUGAAAACUCAGGGCUUAACCCUGAGCUUGCAGUGGGUACGGGCAGACUAGAGUGCGGGUAGGGGAGACUGGAAUUCCUGGUGUAGCGGUGAAAUGCGCAGACUAUCAGGAGGAACACCGGUGGCGGAAGGCGGAUCUCUGGGCCAGUACUGACACUGAGGAGCGAAAGCCGUGGGUAGCAAACAGG
rnacentral:rRNA from 1 species